AGUCCGUGAUGCGGGCAUUGCCUGAACAUGUUUUUGAAUCUAUCCCAUGCCUCAAAUAAUGAUUCUGAAUUUGAUUGUCUGAAACUUGCUAUUACAUUCCUCAUAUG